CUAUUCUAAAUACUUUUCCAUGUAAAUUUUUUAUAGGAAAACUAAUCCUCAUCUAAACUUGUCUUUUCUGUAAAUUGUUUCUUUAAGCAUUCCCCCCUUUUCCAUGGCGAUUGAUAGCUCAAGCUACCGUUUGGAGCCCUUCUUUAUAUAGAUAGGCUUUUUUCUUGAUGAUGAUGUUCCAUGGAGGAAAGUAAUGUGGUUGUGGUAUUGAGCUCACCUUGAAGAUUUUGGACAAAUAAGAAUUUAAGAUAGUGUAAGAUAUAGGUUAAUUAUUUUUUGUUUCUAGUUAAGUUAUUUUUUGGCUCAAUAUAUUCAGAUUUUGUUGUUAAUUGGAUUUUGGAUGAAAAUUCCAUUGUACAUUUCAUCUCAGUCGAAGAAAAAUCCAAUUAGUAUCUUAUAUUGAGCCAAAAAUUUAGCAUGGAUUUAGAUGCCCAAAAACCUUUUCCAUGGAUUUUUACUUGUCCAAGACAUCUUCAAGGAUACCGCAAAUAUAAUGCAUUUUCUCCGUUGGAACACCAUCACUCCGAGAAGCCCAAUUUAUAUUACAAGUCUUCGAAUGAGUAGAUCGAGCUAUUUGUCCUUGAUCAGAUAUACCAUCUUUCUUUGUGCUUUAUAGUGAUGGCUAUGUAUGGACCUUAUAAUGCAUACCUUCUACUAUUUCUCAAUUUGGUAUGUGUACUUCUUGUUGUUCCGCUAUGCUGUGCUGCUUCUUUUAAAUGGUAAUACAGGUUAGGGUGCCGAUCUCAAUGCUGAGCGGCUGCGAUUGUUUGCGUAGCAGAUUCACAAUUUGUUUCAGAUUAUGUACGUUACUAUCUCCACCAACACACCAAUUAGUUGUGAAGGCAGUCUCUCUUGCCAUUGCUCAGGAUGGUGCCAGUGGUGGUAGCAGAUUCACAAUUUGUUUGAGAUUAUGUACGUUACUAUCUCCACCAACACACCAAUUAGUUGUGAAGGCAGUCUCUCUUGCCAUUGCUCGGGAUGGUGCCAGUGGUGGUGUUGUUCGGACAGUGACUAUCAACAAAGAUGGCGUUACUAGAAAGUUCUAUCCCGGGGACACCCUCCCUCUGUGGCAUGAAGAAAUGGAACCCCAGAAUUCACUGUUGGAUACUUUAUCAGCUGCAAGUCCUGAACCAAUGCAUUCCCCCCUUUUCCAUGGCGAUUGAUAGCUCAAGCUACCGUUUGGAGCCCUUCUUUAUAUAGAUAGGCUUUUUUCUUGAUGAUGAUGUGUUCCAUGGAGGAAAGUAAUGUGGUUGUGGUAUUGAGCUCACCUUGAAGAUUUUGGACAAAUAAGAAUUUAAGAUAGUGUAAGAUAUAGGUUAAUUAUUUUUUGUUUCUAGUUAAGUUAUUUUUUGGCUCAAUAUAUUCAAAUUUUGUUGUUAAUUGGAUUUUGGCUGAAAAUUCCAUUGUACAUUUCAUCUCAGUCGAAGCAAAAUCCAAUUAGUAUCUUAUAUUGAGCCAAAAAUUUAGCAUGGAUUUAGAUGCCCAAAAACCUUUUCCAUGGAUUUUUACUUGUCCAAGACGUCUUCAAGGAUACCGCAAAUAUAAUGCAUUUUCUCCGUUGGAACACCAUCACUCCGAGAAGCCCAAUUUAUAUUACAAGUCUUCGAAUGAGUAGAUCGAGCUAUUUGUCCUUGAUCAGAUAUACCAUCUUUCUUUGUGGUUUAUAGAGAUGGCUAUGUAUGGACCUUAUAAUGCAUACCUUCUACUAUUUCUCAAUUUGGUAUGUGUACUUCUUGUUGUUCCGCUAUGCUGUGCUGCUUCUUUUAAAUGGUAAUACAGGUUAGGGUGCCGAUCUCAAUGCUGAGCAGCUGCGAUUGUUUGCGUAAGUUACAUAUGCGUUGUGCACACUGUUGGGCACAAGGUGAGGGCGUGGAGCUGUGUGCACGGGGUAUGGC